rnacentral:rRNA from 1 species
GUAUCCUGUCUGAAUAUGGGGGGACCAUCCUCCAAGGCUAAAUACUCCUGACUGACCGAUAGUGAACCAGUACCGUGAGGGAAAGGCGAAAAGAACCCCGGCGAGGGGAGUGAAAAAGAACCUGAAACCGUGUACGUACAAGCAGUGGGAGCACCUUCGUGGUGUGACUGCGUACCUUUUGUAUAAUGGGUCAGCGACUUAUAUUCUGUAGCAAGGUUAACCGUAUAGGGGAGCCGAAGGGAAACCGAGUCUUAACUGGGCGUUAAGUUGCAGGGUAUAGACCCGAAACCCGGUGAUCUAGCCAUGGGCAGGUUGAAGGUUGGGUAACACUAACUGGAGGACCGAACCGACUAAUGUUGAAAAAUUAGCGGAUGACUUGUGGCUGGGGGUGAAAGGCCAAUCAAACCGGGAGAUAGCUGGUUCUCCCCGAAAGCUAUUUAGGUAGCGCCUCGUGAACUCAUCUUCGGGGGUAGAGCACUGUUUCGGCUAGGGGGCCAUCCCGGCUUACCAACCCGAUGCAAACUACGAAUACCGAAGAAUGUUAUCACGGGAGACACACGGCGGGUGCUAACGUCCGUCGUGAAGAGGGAAACAACCCAGACCGCCAGCUAAGGUCCCAAAGUCAUGGUUAAGUGGGAAACGAUGUGGGAAGGCACAGACAGCCAGGAUGUUGGCUUAGAAGCAGCCAUCAUUUAAAGAAAGCGUAAUAGCUCACUGGUCGAGUCGGCCUGCGCGGAAGAUGUAACGGGGCUAAACCAUGCACCGAAGCUGCGGCAGCGACGCUUAGGCGUUGUUGGGUAGGGGAGCGUUCUGUAAGCCGUUGAAGGUGUGCUGUGAGGCAUGCUGGAGGUAUCAGAAGUGCGAAUGCUGACAUAAGUAACGAUAAAGCGGGUGAAAAGCCCGCUCGCCGGAAGACCAAGGGUUCCUGUCCAACGUUAAUCGGGGCAGGGUGAGUCGACCCCUAAGGCGAGGCCGAAAGGCGUAGUCGAUGGGAAACAGGUUAAUAUUCCUGUACUUGGUGUUACUGCGAAGGGGGGACGGAGAAGGCUAUGUUAGCCGGGCGACGGUUGUCCCGGUUUAAGCAUGUAGGCGGAGGU